UACAGAGGUCCCAAGCGUUGUUCGGAUUCACUGGGCGUAAAGGGUGCGUAGGCGGUCGGGUAAGUCUGAUGUGAAAUCUCACAGCUUAACUGUGAAACUGCAUUGGAUACUAUUCGGCUUGAGAGUUGGAGGGGGGACUGGAAUUCUUGGUGUAGCAGUGAAAUGCGUAGAUAUCAGGAGGAACACCGGUGGCGAAGGCGGGUCUCUGGGCCGUAACUGACGCUGAGGAGCGAAAGCGUGGGGAGCGAACAGG
rnacentral:rRNA from 1 species